AAGCUCGGGGGGGCCACUUCCUAUGUAAUGACUGGUAGGGAUGAGCCGCUGGAAUAGGUCACUAUUUUAUGCUUCAUGAUAUAUGAAAAGGGUGAGAAAAUCAGAUUAAAUAUAUCAAUAGGUUGAUAUUAUCACUUGCUGAAUUAUAUCAUAAGUAUCUGAAACUAAUCAAAUGUUCGUAUUUAUUUUUGAUGCGGUUAAACCACAGUCGUAAAUGCAUCAGCUAUUUGUCAACCCAAUUAAACUCUAUUUAUACAAUGUGGUAUUUCCACUGAGGUUAGUUAUAGAUGCAAUAAAUCCAAUCAUUUUGACAUUUCCACCUAAUUAACAUUGAAAAGUUUGUAUACAUGAAACAUUUAAAGAAAUUCCAUAAUAUAGUGUCAGCGUCCUUCAAGAGGGAACGGCAAAUGUGACUUUUUAUCAGUUUUUAAGUAAUGUUAAUCUCAGUAAAAG
rnacentral:lncRNA from 1 species